ACCCCAGGUCAGCGGGGUUACCCGCUGAAUUUAAGCAUAUCAAUAAGCGGAGGA
rnacentral:rRNA from 1 species